UAUAAUGCAUUUGUAUUCCUUUUUAUAUCACAACCCAACCUAAAAUACUUAUAAGUAUUUGCCUAAUAGUGUUGGCGGGGGAAAAAAUGGUAUAGAGGUAUGAUAAUGAGAUGGCUAAUUAAGAUCAAUCAGUUAAUUUAAUGUCCAACAUGCAGCUGUGAGGAACCGUGGCUUCAUUGCUUCUCAAGCUCAUCUACCCCGUGGGCUAAACAACCCUGAAAGAAUACCUCAGAAUUAUAAUCACACAUUCUCUCAUUACCCAGCCUGACUACCACACCAACAUGGCAAUAUGGAUCCCACACAUUGCAGUAGGCCUAUGCAUAGCGCAGGUAGAUGAAAGCAGGUAGUCCAUCCAUAUGCACCUGCGGGCUGAGAGCCGAACGAAGGCCUUGGACACGGGCUCACUUUCCCUAUUAGCGAGUCAGCGCCAAGUCAAGCGCAUGCCUCCGAAUCGACUUCCGCCCUGAGCACGGGGCUGAACAAAGUCAGCCCUGUCUGCGCGCGCAGCGGCAACAGACAGAUGAAAUGAUGCUCCUGCGGGUUUUAUCCGCAGGGUUGAAAUGAACGUACACGGGAAAAGGCCCCGGAGGCGCACGGGGUCCUCGCUGCUGCAUAAUCAGCGCCUGGUGCGUGCAGUUGUGAACCUGUCAAGCGCAGCGACUUUCAAAAGAACUUCAGGGUUUGAGAACCACCCCCUCUUCCUCUCCAAACAGUUCCCCCGCAUACCACUGCGGGGCAGUGUUGUAUCAGCAGACGGUAGAAUGCAGUCAGGAACCGGCGAGAAGUGGAACGGAGCGUCGGGAUAUGCAUUCGAGUUGAUUAAAAGUUGUCUAAAAAUGCACAUAUGGACUGCAUCUCCCCGACAAGUUUAUCAGACAUGACGAAACUGCCUGUUUGCUGUGGCCUUGAUGCACAGGUAUUUAUAAAAGAUAUGACUGGCUAUAAUGAUACCAAACCUCCACCCACCCGCAGCGCGUGUUCGAUGCUGGCGGAAACCGCGGCCGGUCGUGACAGCGAAGCGCGGCGAGGACGCGAUGCGCGAUGGCAGCCCGGGCCGGAGGAGCGGUGAAGAGCUCAGGGGCCCCGUCAGCAGCAGACACCUGUUCCCGCGCGCUCCGUCCCUCCGGCCGCCGCCUAAAAUGGAGUCCGGAGCAGAGGGGAACGCGGCGGUCCAGGGCGUCAGGGCCACGCCCUUUUCCCGCAGAUGCACUCCUGGAUGUCCCGUCGGGUUUCUGCAGUCUGUGGACCGCCGCGGUCGUCGCGUCGCCGAAGAUGCGCCGGCGUCCAUUUUGAAACGAUCAUCACCCAAAGCGCUCCACUGGGGAGAAGAAUUCCUCAGGAAGCCCGGCCUGUGAUAACCGCUACUGUUAAAUCCCAACAGAAGGUGUUCCUGUUACCUUCUGUGUCUUGCAGUGAGUGCCUAUUACCUCACAACGUUGACCCUGUAACCAGACCAGCAGGAGCUCAUGAACUUUCAGGCACAUUUACACACCCUGACUCUGUGUAUUUACCUUCACCUGUCUUUGGAUGCUCAAAUCUUUAGCCAAUCAAACUUGCGUGGGAGGCCCACAGAUUCUUCUGCCCUGUUUCUUCAUUUCCUCCACAGGAACAGUCAUACUGCCAAGAACAACACUCCAACACCUACUGUAACAUAUGUUGUACUAAAUAAACAGAUUAUAUUCACUCUUAAACAACUAUCUUUGGUUGCCAUUAGGGGACAGAGUGAAAUAUUUUGAACGUUUUUUAUUUUAUUACCAGACAGACACAAACCCACUGGUCCAUUUCUGUAGAUAUUGGCUUAUCAGCCUAUUUAAUAAUAAUUCCAGGUGAAGUUCCCAUUGGGCUAUGCCAAUGUCAACUGGAAUCAAAUAUAUGUCUCAUUGUCAACUGUAUCAAUAAAAAUCACCUUGGUUCCUUUCAUGUA